rnacentral:tRNA from 1 species
GCGUCGUUAGCGCAAUAGGCAGCGCGUCAGUCUCAUAAUCAAAUCUAGAAGGUGUUGAGUUCGAUCCUCACACGGGGCA